UAACACCUGGAAACAGAUGCUAAUACCGGAUAACAACAGAUGAUGCCUAUCAACUGUUUAAAAGAUGGUUCUGCUAUCACUCUUGGAUGGACCCGCGGUGCAUUAGCUAGUUGGUAGGGUAACAGCCUACCAAGGCGAUGAUGCAUAGCCGAGUUGAGAGACUGAUCGGCCACAUUGGGACUGAGACACGGCCCAAACUCCUACGGGAGGCAGCAGCC
rnacentral:rRNA from 1 species